GGAAAAGAGAUCACGCACCAGGCUGGCUCCGAAAAGGGGAUCGAUCGGUCAGGAGACCGGGCACGUUUGUGCUUCGCAGAGUCCCUGCAGAUCGAACAGGCAGUGGCAAGUGUGGGGCUUCCCACACUUAGAACUGUUCACCCAUCGUGGACACAGGCGUCUGGCACACCGGGGGUUAGGCUCUCGGUGCGAUCGAUGUCCACAAGCCGUAGCCACUGAAACGUGUGCACCCUGGAGCCGCCGCCGCCGUGCAGAGGGAGAUCUCAUCCGGCUCCGCGGGUCCUUCCCGUUCAUCUCGAACCUGCCCGGAGCCCGGCGGCAUCUUCCCGGAUCAGGGAUCGAUCGAAAACACCCUGUCCCCUGCCUCAUCGGCAGGUGGAUUCUUCACCACUGGACCACCAGGCAGGGAAGUCCCUUCACAGCCUUCUAAACUCAUCUACCCCGAAACAGUCCACGUCGUCCUCCAACUCAUUGGACCAUCACGACUGAAAUGAAGGAAAAUAUGUUCGUUCGAGAAUGUCUUCACUCCUCAGUGCUUCUUGCUUUAGAACCACCAAGGCAUCUCUCUCUCUCUCUCUCUCUCUCUCUCUCUCUCUCUCUCUCUCUCUCUCUCACACACACACACACACACACGAACAGAGGUGGGCUCAUAGUCCAAAAGAAACCAACGUUUGUGUGUAUCCAUCCCACUUGCUGUGGCUGUCGUGCCGUCGCUCAUCAAAGAAGCUGAUCUGAUACGGAAUCCGAUGUCUUCUUCUCUAGGACACGUCGAGAGGCAGCAAGCGUGCCGGUGUGUGAGCACCGAAGGUCAACCCGGCAUGAUGGAGCCCGGCCAGGUGUGUGCUCAGAGGCCCACCUAGAUUCGAACUCCAGUUCCCGGAGGGGAGCGGUGGGAACAGGAGUGUGGACUGCGAGGAGUCCAAUCCUCACCUUACAAAAAGGCAAAAUCAUCCCCUUCCUCCCUUAUCGGCGUCUGCACGGCUCCUCCUGGACUCAGGGAUCCCAUCGAAAGGACGUCCAGGUUGUGUCCUUCUCCCUGGCCCGAUCGUUUCGAACCUCUCCAAGAAAAAGCGGUGACGUCAAGAGAUCCGUCUCGAGUUCGGGACUGGGGCUUCCCCGGGGGCCCCGUGGUCAACGAUCCCGUGCCCAUGCAGGAGACGUGGGUUUCGCCCCCGGUCCGGGAAGAGCCCACACGCUACCCAUACGCCUCGGUGAUGGAGUCUGUGCUCUAGAUCCUGGCCGCUGCGAGUGUUGAGCCCACACCCAGCAGCCACGGAAGCCCACGUGCCCCGGCGCCCCUGCCCCCCAAGAGGAACCACAGCCACGAGAAGCCCAGACACACGACCGUAGAGCGACCCCCUCUCUCCACAGAGAGAGAACAGCUUGCACGGCCACGAAGACACACAGAGCA
ensembl:lncRNA